GCUGUUAGAAGCAAAUGAGAAAACAUGCACAUCAAUGCACAUACUCAGUAUAUCUGAGAUAAAUGACAGUUAAGAAACUGACAGCAAAAAGGUACGGUUCCUCACUAAUAUAGAUAUGAACAUCAUAUUUGCACCUUACUUAUGAACUAUAAUAGUUUUCCUUCAAGUAUUUAUAAUCUUUCUAAAAAGGUGAAGAGAGAAAGUACACUAAUGAUGGAAACUCAAAUGUCUAUAAACUUUCUCUCCAUCCAAGUUUUAGGUUAAAGAUGACAACUUAAAAGAGACCUAAAAUGGUUUUAAGAGCAUCACAGGUCGAUUGAAUGUGAAGUAAUAUUUGCUGAUGG
rnacentral:lncRNA from 1 species